AUUGAACGCUGGCGGCAGGCCUAACACAUGCAAGUCGAACGGUAACAGGAAACAGCUUGCUGUUUCGCUGACGAGUGGCGGACGGGUGAGUAAUGUCUGGGAAACUGCCUGAUGGAGGGGGAUAACUACUGGAAACGGUAGCUAAUACCGCAUAACGCCGCAAGACCAAAGAGGGGGACCCUCGGGCCUCUUGCCAUCGGAUGUGCCCAGAUGGGAUUAGCUUGUUGGUGGGGUAACGGCUCACCAAGGCGACGAUCCCUAGCUGGUCUGAGAGGAUGACCAGCCACACUGGAACUGAGACACGGUCCAGACUCCUACGGGAGGCAGCAGUGGGGAAUAUUGCACAAUGGGCGCAAGCCUGAUGCAGCCAUGCCGCGUGUAUGAAGAAGGCCUUCGGGUUGUAAAGUACUUUCAGCGGGGAGGAAGGGGGUAAAGUUAAUACCUUUGCUCAUUGACGUUACCCGCAGAAGAAGCACCGGCUAACUCCGUGCCAGCCGCCGCCGUAA
rnacentral:rRNA from 1 species